GACGAACGCUGGCGGCGUGCUUAACACAUGCAAGUCGAACGGUGAUGCUCAAGCUUGCUGGAGUGGAUCAGUGGCGAACGGGUGAGUAACACGUGAGCAACCUGCCCCAGACUCUGGAAUAAGCGCUGGAAACGGCGUCUAAUACUGGAUACGAAACUGGCCCGCAUGGGGUUGGUUUAGGAAGUUUUUCGGUUUGGGAUGGGCUCGCGGCCUAUCAGCUUGUUGGUGAGGUAAUGUCUCACCAAGGCGACGACGGGUAGCCGGCCUGAGAGGGCGACCGGCCACACUGGGACUGAGACACGGCCCAGACUCCUACGGGAGGCAGCAGUGGGGAAUAUUGCACAAUGGGCGAAAGCCUGAUGCAGCGACGCCGCGUGAGGGAUGACGGCCUUCGGGUUGUAAACCUCUUUCAGCAGGGAAGAAGCGAAAGUGACGGUACCUGCAGAAGAAGCACCGGCUAACUACGUG
rnacentral:rRNA from 1 species